GAGUCUGCAGGCUGAAAUAGAUCAGGAGCUGCCAGUUUGCAAAUUCCAAAGAAAGGACGAGGAAGUCAGUUAGGGGCAAGCCCAGAAACCGAACGACACUGACAAGCACAGAAGCAAGGGAGAGCAGAUUCACAAAAAUAACUCAUCGCUGAGGUGAACUCCCGAUGCUGAAGUCCUGAGGGCCUCCUCUGCCCUGCCCGCAAUGCCAUGCUAGCUGACCUUGGAUCUGUGACCCUUGCCUUCAUCUGUGCCGAGACCUACACAAACAGUGAUGAAGCAUCGCAGCCGGAGGUGGGAGAACCUCCACCAGGACAGUGCUAGCAUGGGAACUGGUGCUCCUUUAAGCGUUUACUGCAGUGGAAACUUGGUCUGUACCCAGAAAGGCCCAAGAUGUUGCUUCUUGAGGGCAUACAGCUUUUAAUGACAAUUGGACAAAUGCUACAUUAUUUAGCAUUGAGACAAAUGGAAAUACGUCAGCCUCUGUAAGGUGGUGAAAGUGGCUGACAUUUUUGCUUAUAAUCUUGAACUUAUUUGAGUAAACUACCUACUAAUGUUUUACAGUUUUAGCUUUAUCUUACUAGAAGGUCUAAAGGGUUUUUGGUUAUAAGUGGAAAAAUGUAGAACGUCUAAAAAAAAAAAAGAAGGGGAAAUAAUUUAUUUUUCACUCUU